UGUUUGCUUAUGAAUUAUUUUUUUUAAAGUUUUAAUUUUUCGAUGCUCACCAUACUUUUUUUUUAGGUAUUUUAUAUUAUUUUUACUUGUUAGGUAAUUUCAUUACAACUUUCAAUAGUAUAUCGAGUGUAUGACUCAUGAAAAUGAAUAUUGCUGUUUUGUUCUACAUAACAUCUUCAAUUAUUAGAAUACUCAAUUUUUUAGAAACCAAUGGAUCUGAACAAAUAAUAGUUAUAUUCUCAAUACACCAUCACUCUGUUUUACGGAUAUUUGAAGACUCAUAAUGUAUAAAUGAAGAUUCAUGCUUUAUUGUAUUGAUAACUGAGGGUGAAUCAAUAUUAUUUGGAUAUAAAAAAAUGUAGCAGCUAGUCCAUAUAUCCGAGCUGCGUCUAACAGUUUUGAGAACAGCAACAAUUCAAAUCUUGUUAAUAUGAGUUAGAUUCCACCAUUUUACUAAUACUUUAAGUUUAUAUAUUUUUACUGGCAAAUUUAUGGUCACCAACGAAAAUGUACAGUUGGACUAUAAAAGUGGUAUAUGUGGAGAGAAUUUACUAACACAAACGGAUACAUCAAAUUAUCUUUGUAUAAAAUCAUUUGCCAACUUACAUAAUUGUAUGGAGUUCUCCCAAGUUUUGAAGCAUUCGUCAAUAAACAGUUUUUAGAAACGGUUAAAGAUGAUGUGUUCUUAUCAUUAUCUUGUGAAAAAUGUGUUGAGAUUACUUUCUAUGGUGACUUUGCUGUUCCAUUUGAGGAAAAAAAGUCAAUUCAGCACUUCCCCAUUCCAAAUAUAAUUCGGUGUAGAGGUUUUUGAUGUCAGUGUUCAAAAAUGGGUAGCUAGUAUGACUACAGAAGUGAUUUGUGUGUGUUAUGUAUACUAUCAGUGAUAAUAGCUAACAGUAUUGAGGCCUGUAAACUAAUGAUGGAGUAUGAUCUUUUAUUGCUAAUAUAUAUUCCUCGAUAAAUACCUGGAGUCGACAGUCAGAUGAAUUGUAUGUGAUUGAUGGAGAAAUAACAAAAUCUGAAUAAAAAUGGGUAACUAGUCAUACUACAGAAGUCAUUUGCAUGUGGGUAUACUCAAUAAUCGAUCGUUCAUAUGAGAUAGGAGUUUUUUUCAAAAUAUCUGAAGUCUGUCGAACGUUAUGAUUCCACACAUGAACUACUUAAUUGAA
rnacentral:lncRNA from 1 species